AUGUCUUCCUUUUCCGCCGGUUUUCAGCUUGUGGCCAAGAAAUGUUGCAAAGAUUCGCCGCCUUCUUCCCCUCAAGGUCCCGAUUUUGUUGUUGGAGGAAUGUCCUCAGCCAGCUCUUCUCAGUUCCCAGCAUCAACAGAGCGAGAAUCUACAACUGCUAAUGAUAAUGCAAUACCUCAUGAUCCAGGUGCUGAUUCUGCUGGACCAGCACAAAGCAGACUUUCGCUUCAGUUGGAUCAGCGGUCAUUACAUUUUUCUGUUAAUGCUUGGGUUCUUAUUGUUGCAUUGAUCGGCAUCAUUCCACUGGCAACACGACAACUGCAACUCAAGGGAUAUCGUUUGUCACUUCUUGGCACAACCUGUACCACAGGUUAUGCCAUAUUUGCUCUUUAUGGGCUACCCAGAGUAGGGAACACACAGGCUGUUCAGGCCUGGUGCCACCAUGUAACUUCAUCAAAGGAUUUUAUUCCAUUCAUGUACUGCCUUAUGUUUGUUACAUCUAAACUACACUUGAAGCUUGUUUUGGUACCGGUAAUUUGCUGGGCACUUGAACAUGUGGCCAGAUUUCUACGGCGCCAUUUUACCAAUUCCUCUCUCUACAGGGCAUACCUGGAGCCGCUUUGCACAUGGGUUGAGGCAAACACAACUGCAGUCAACUUUCUGAUUGCAAAUGCAGAGAUUUUGUUGGGCUUUCUUAUGAUCUUAUCACUGUUCUCGAAACAACGCAAUGCUAUGCAAACAUUCAUGUACUGGCAGUUGUUGAAGCUAAUGUAUCAUUCUCCUUUCACUGCUGGCUACCACAGAGCUAUCUGGCUAAAGAUUGGCCGGACAGCUAACCCCUACAUCAGCAGUUACACCCCUUUUCUUCAUGACCCGAUAAACGCCGGCAUGAGAUGGUGGUUCAGGUAG
rnacentral:rRNA from 1 species